rnacentral:rRNA from 1 species
AUUGAACGCUAGCGGGAUGCCUUACACAUGCAAGUCGAACGGAGUGGCGAACGGGCGAGUAAUGUAUCUGAACGUGCCCAGUUGCGGGGGAUAACUACCCGAUAGCGUAGCUAAUUACUCAUACUAUUCGUGCGGCCUAUAUCGGUGUAGCUAGUUGGUGGGGUAACGGCUCACCAAGGCGACGAUCCGUAGCUGGGUUGAGAGGACGACCAGCCACACUGGAACUGAGACACGGCCCAGACUCCUACGGGAGGAAGCAGUGGGGAAUAUUGGACAAUGGGGGAAACCCUGAUCCAGCCAUCCCGCGUGUGUGAUGAAGGCCUUCGGGUUGUAAAGCACUUUUGGCAGGAAGGCGGUACCUGCAGAAUAAGCACCGGCUAACUACGUGCCAGCAGCCGCGGUAAUAC